rnacentral:rRNA from 2 species
AACGCGAAGAACCUUACCUGGUCUUGACAUCCACAGAAUUUCUCAGAGAUGAGGAAGUGCCUUCGGGAACUGUGAGACAGGUGCUGCAUGGCUGUCGUCAGCUCGUGUUGUGAAAUGUUGGGUUAAGUCCCGCAACGAGCGCAACCCUUAUCCUUUGUUGCCAGCGGUCCGGCCGGGAACUCAAAGGAGACUGCCAGUGAUAAACUGGAGGAAGGUGGGGAUGACGUCAAGUCAUCAUGGCCCUUACGACCAGGGCUACACACGUGCUACAAUGGCAUAUACAAAGAGAAGCGACCUCGCGAGAGCAAGCGGACCUCAUAAAGUAUGUCGUAGUCCGGAUUGGAGUCUGCAACUCGACUCCAUGAAGUCGGAAUCGCUAGUAAUCGUGGAUCAGAAUGCCACGGUGAAUACGUUCCCGGGUCUUGUACACACCG